AACGGUCUAUACCUGCGGUACCUGCGGAGGGAUCAUUAAUGAGAAGCUGCCCCUCGUGGGUAGACCUCCCACCCUCUGUGAACUUACCUUUGUUGCUUUGGCAGGCCCGUCCUCUGGACCGCCGGCUUCGGCUGGCCCGUGCCUGCCAGAGGAUUCCAAACCCUGUCUGUCAGUGUUGUCUGAGUCUAUAUGAAAUCGUUAAAACUUUCAACAAUGGAUCUCUAGAUCGGAAGAGCACAC
rnacentral:misc_RNA from 1 species